AUGCAAGUCGAACGCUUCAGCAAUGAAGAGUGGCAGACGGGUGAGUAACGCGUGGGAACCUUCCCAGUGGUACGGAAUAGCCCAGGGAAACUUGGGGUAAUACCGUAUAAGCCCUUAGGGGGAAAGAUUUAUCGCCAUUGGAUGGGCCCGCGUCGGAUUAGCUUGUUGGUGAGGUAAAAGCUCACCAAAGCGACGAUCCGUAGCUGGUCUGAGAGGAUGAUCAGUCACACUGGGACUGAGACACGGCCCAGACUCCUACGGGAGGCAGCAGUGGGGAAUAUUGGACAAUGGGCGCAAGCCUGAUCCAGCCAUGCCGCGUGAGUGACGAAGGCCUUAGGGUUGUAAAGCUCUUUUGGCGGGGACGAUAAUGACGGUACCCGCAGAAUAAGCUCCGGCUAACUUCGUGCCAGCAGCCGCGGUAAUACGAAGGGAGCUAGCGUUGUUCGGAAUUACUGGGCGUAAAGCGCACGUAGGCGGACUUGUUAGUCAGGGGUGAAAUCCCGGGGCCCAACCUCGGAACUGCCUUUGAUACUGCAAGUCUGGAGUCCGGAAGAGGUGGGUGGAAUUCCUAGUGUAGAGGUGAAAUUCGUAGAUAUUAGGAAGAACACCGGUGGCGAAGG
rnacentral:rRNA from 1 species